CUGAUCCUACGGGGCGCAGCAGUAGGGAAUUUUCGUCAAUGGGCGCAAGCCUGAACGAGCAAUGCCGCGUGAACGAGGAAGGUCUUCGGAUCGUAAGUUCGGUUGAAGGGGAAAAAGAGCGGAGAGAGGAAAUGGUCUCCGAUUGAUAUUACCCUUCGAGGAAGUCACGGCUAACUACGUGCCAGCAGCCGCGGUAAUACGUAGGGGGCAAGCGUUAUCCGGAUUUACUGGGUGUAAAGGGAGCGUAGGCGGCCUGGCAAGCCUGAUGUGAAAUACCGGGGCCCAACCCCGGGGCUGCAUUGGGA
rnacentral:rRNA from 1 species